AGCAGCCGCGGUAAUUCCAGCUCCAAUAGCGUAUAUUAAAGUUGUUGCAGUUAAAAAGCUCGUAGUUGAAUCUCGGGGCCAGUAGGUUGGUCGUGCCACUGGUAUGUACUGGCCUUACUGGUCCCUCCUUCUUGUAGAACCGUGAUGCCAUUAAUUUGGUGUUGCGGGAAACAGGACUGUUACUUUGAAAAAAUUAGAGUGUUUAAAGCAGGCUCACGCUUGAAUACAUUAGCAUGGAAUAAUAGAAUAGGACGUUCGAUCCUAUUUUGUUGGUUUCUAGGGUUGACGUAAUGAUUAAUAGGGAUAGUUGGGGGCAUUAGUAUUCAAUUGUCAGAGGUGAAAUUCUUGGAUUUAUUGAAGACUAACUACUGCGAAAGCAUUUGCCAAGGAUGUUUUCAUUAAUCAAGAACGAAAGUUAGGGGAUCGAAGACGAUCAGAUACCGUCGUAGUCUUAACCAUAAACUAUGCCGACUAGGGAUCGGAUGAUGUUAAUUUUUAAUGACUCAUUCGGCGCCUUACG
rnacentral:rRNA from 1 species